rnacentral:rRNA from 1 species
GACGAACGCUGGCGGCGUGCCUAAUACAUGCAAGUCGAGCGAACUUUUUCUGGUGCUUGCACUGGAACAAUUUAGCGGCGAACGGGUGAGUAACACGUAAAGAACCUGCCUCAUAGACUGGGACAACUAUUGGAAACGAUCGCUAAUACCGGAUAACAGUAUUAACUACAUGGUUGAUGUGUAAAAGUUUGUUUUUCUAACACUAUGAUAUGUCUUUGCGGUGCAUUUGCUAGUUUGUGGGGUAAAGGUCUAACAAGGCAACGAUGCAUAGCCGACGGGAGAGGGGGAGCGGCACCACGAGAAGUGAGACACGGUCCAGACGACUGAGGGAGGCAGCAGUAGGGAAUCGUCCGCAAUGGGGGAAAGCCUGAAGGAGCAACGCCGCGUGGGAGAAGAAGGAGUUCGGAUCGGAAAGCUCUGUUAUUAGGGAAGAACGAAUGGGUAAGAAAAUGAACACGGAGAGACGGUACCUAAUCAGAAAGCCACGGCUAACUACGGG